AGGCGGGCAGCCCUGGCCAGCAGCUCUCGGUCCUGUGGCGGGAGGCUGAAGUCGACGUAGGACCCGGUGGGGAGGCGCUGGGGUGUGGAUCGGGUGCCUUUGUCAAAGCCUGACGAUUCAAGAUUUGGCUCUUGUACUUUUCCCGCCAGUCCUCUACAAUGUACUGGUGGUAGGGGUCAUUGGAGUGUUCCUGUCUCUUGGAUUUCACGGUGCUCACCAGGAUGGCCACGAUAAUGAAAGAGAACAUUCCAAUAAUCACCAUGAGGUACAGGAUGACAUAGUAGAAGUUCUCAGCAUCAACUUUGGCUUGGAGGGCCUCUUGCUCAGCUGUCGUGUUCCGGCGCCAAUUGUCCAUGUAAGUAAUAAAAAUCCUUUGGAAGACGUCUUCCAGCGUCUGUGUGAAAUUGGAUAAAGUAGACAUGCUUCCCUCCUGCUGCAAUUUAGAUAAUACAAUAGGCAAACAAGGUUAGGAAAACAGAUCUUUUCUGGAUUUGGCUAUGUAAAGGUGGGAGGGAGAUGCCAGGGGAGAAGUAAUAGUAUUUCUUCAUCUCCUGGCUGGUGAUUGAAUCUAUAUUUUGUUAGUCUUUAAACUGAUUGUAUACAUUUUCACUUCUUUUUUUUAUAAUGCAUGAUUAUUGUACAAUAAAAAUGUUAAAGGCAGACAAAAUUAUAUAUAUACACUUUGAUAUCUACAUAUGCAUGUAAAUAAAUGUAUGUAUACAUGUGAAAAUGGAGAAAAUAUUAGAAGUACAUAGAUCAGAAUGUUAACAGUGGGUGGUGUGCUUAAAGAUAUAUUUUCUUCUUUAUGCUUUUCUCAUAUUCCAAAUUUUCAUCAGCAAUCUUGCAUUACUUUUGUUUUUUAAAAAACUGGUAACCUCACCAGGGUGGGUGGAUCACGAGGUCAGGAGAUGGAGACUAUCCUGGCUAACAUGGUGAAACCCCGUUUCUACUAAAAGUACAAAAAAAAAAGAAAAAAGAAAUUAGCCAGGAGUGCUGGCGGGUGCCUGUGGUCCCAGCUGCUCAGGAGGCUGAGGCAGGAGAAUGGUGUGAACGCGGGAGGCAGAGCUUGCAGUGAGCCGAGAUCGCGCCACUGCACUCCAGUCUGGGUGACAGAGCAAGACUCCAUCUCAAAAAAAAAAAAAAAAAAAAAAAAAUUGGUAACCUCACAAGAGCUAGAAUAAUGCCGCCACAUUCAUAAGCACUCAACAAACGUCAGUUGAAUGAACCAAUGACUCAUUUAUGUUCUCUGUUUUUAGAGAAUUGUGGGGCAUUAUGAGAUAACAUGGAGGGAAAAGAUUGCAGGGGGCAUUGACGGACUCUCCAAUUUGUUCCAUCCCCUAUGUCUAGGUGGCACAUUGUCCCAAGUAUCCUAAAGGGAGGGGUGUGUACAUCCAUAUUUGAAAGAAGCAUUUUAGGUAAGUGAUGCCAAGAAACAAUCUGAGAGAUUAUUCCUAUGUUUCAAAUCCAUCUCUGCUUUUCAUUCCCACUGGCACUGCCCAGCCGCCAGCAUCUCUCACCUGGAUAAUACAAUGCCAACAAUGUAAUACAACACAACCCUCCCCAGAGCCAUCUCUUUGGGGUUAUAUGUGACCCUCUUUGCCUUGAAUAGCCAUCAAUGUGCCUUUUUUUUUUUUUUUUUUCCGGAAUCUCGCUUUUGCCCAGGCUGGAGUGCAGUGGCAUAAUCUCUUCUCAUUGCAA
rnacentral:lncRNA from 10 species